rnacentral:ribozyme from 1 species
UGCGCAGCAACUCCUAUCCCUACCACCGCGUGGCACCGGCUGGACUGCGAGUAACCUUAGAGAAGAUCGGGUAACCAACCCUGGUGGGAAUUUUGGUCGUAGGUUGAUAGGGAAGG